rnacentral:ncRNA from 1 species
AUAAAACUGAUGACGAAGAAAAGUAUCUUUACCCCAUAGGGUUAGAGAGGGAAUGCCUCGGCUGAAAGCAUUUCUCCCUGAUGAUAAAGUGAAAGACACUUCAUAGGUUUUAAUUCGAACGGUUAGUUUAAACCUCAGUAGAGUUACACGUGGGCAAUCGUUACUUGCAUAAUGAGGAAGCUUUUUUUGGCUUCGAAGCAGGGUGGCACCGCGGGAACUCCCGUCCCUUAU